rnacentral:rRNA from 1 species
AUGGCCACUAAGAGGAACAGGAGAAAUUCCAUUGCUUCUUUGAAAUAUAUGGAUGGGUCUGUGGUUUCACAACAUUCUCAGAUGGAGGGCAUCAUUUGGAAUUGCUUUAAGAAUAGAAUGGGAGUAUCUGCUGGAAUAGUAAUGGGCUUUGAGCUGAGUGCUCUGCUUACACCAAUUGAUGGGCUAGAUUUUCUUACAGAACCAUUUACAAAAGAAGAAAUGGAUGACAUUGUCAAACACAUGCCCAUUGACAAAGCUCCUGGACCAGAUGUUUUUAAUGGGUUAUUCUUCAAAAAAUGA